rnacentral:rRNA from 1 species
CAAUAGCGUAUAUUAAAGUUGUUGCAGUUAGAAAGCUCGUAGUUGGAUUUCUGGUAGGAGCGACCGUGCCGAACUUGAUUGUUCGAGUAUUGUGUUGUCUUCAGCCAUCCUCGUGGAGAACUUUUCUAACAUUAACUUGUUGGGAUUGGGACCCGCGUCGUUUACUGUGAAAAAAUUAGAGUGUUUAAAGCAGGCAUUAGCUUGAAUACAUUAGCAUGGAAUAAUAAGAUAGGACUUUGGUACUAUUUUGUUGGUUUGCAUACCAAAUUAAUGAUCAACAGGAACAGUUUGAGGAUAUUCGUAUGAACAUGUCAGAGGUGAAAUUCUUGGAUUUUGAUCAGACGAACUACUGCGAAAGCAUUUAUCAAGGAUGUUUUCAUUAA